UAUGAGCACAUUUUAGCUCAUGCUAGCUCGCUAACAAGCUAGCCAAUUAACAAAAUGCCAUAUGACAGACAUACAUUAAAAUAACAAUUUAACUCUGGAAUUCUAGUUUAGCAUCUCACCAAAUGCAACCUUACAUUGGUUUAGUUUUAAUGGCAUUUUUUUUUUUUUUUUUGUUAACAAUUCAUUGUAUGGGCAGCAGAGCUCCUGGUAGCAAGGUAAGGUGACCUUAAAAAUUGUGUUGGUGGUUUACAAGUUUGGGACCAUAAGUUUUUUAACAGCUUAGUUAAAAACAGUGUCAUUAGCUUGUAUUUAAGCUGCAGGCCAGCAGCUAAUGGUAAGCUAGUUAAGUGACUUUUUUUUUUUAUGCUAGCGAGUGAGUGAGUGGGCGACCAAGAGUGAGGGAGCUCCGUCAGGACAGACUGCGCUGAUCACUCAGAACUGAGUCAGCAUUUGCAAAGGAAUAUAGCUCUGUGUGUCUUCCAUACAUUUGUGAGCUUGAGGACUGGACAGUCUGCAUUUGUUUGUGGCUCUUCAGUAGUGCAUUAUGAAUGUGGAAGUGUAAAGAGUGUGCUGCAGAGGAAACGACAAGGUAUCAGUUAUUGAAGCACUAUAGGUUAAAACAUGGCCACUUUGGCCGCAAACACCCUUAUCCAUGCACAUA